UGAGUAAUCUGCCCUUCACUUGGGGAUAAGCCUCGGAAACGAGGUCUAAUACCCGAUACGACCAGUCCUCGCAUGAGGUCCUGGUGGAAAGUUUUGUCGGUGGAGGAUGUGCUCGCGGCCUAUCAGCUUGUUGGUGGGGUAAUGGCCUACCAAGGCUUCGACGGGUAGCCGGCCUGAGAGGGUGAUCGGCCACACUGGGACUGAGACACGGCCCAGACUCCUACGGGAG
rnacentral:rRNA from 1 species